UACAGAGGUCCCGAGCGUUGUUCGGAUUCCCUGGGCGUAAAGGGUGCGUAGGUGGUGAGGUAAGUCGGAUGUGAAAUCUCCGGGCUCAACCCGGAAAUGGCAUUGGAAACUACCUUGCUAGAGGAUUUGAGGGGGGAUUGGAAUACUUGGUGUAGCAGUGAAAUGCGUAGAUAUCAAGUGGAACACCAGUGGCGAAGGCGAAUCCCUGGCCUGUUCUUGACGCUGAGGCGCGAAAGCUAGGGUAGCAAACGGG
rnacentral:rRNA from 1 species